ACUUUCCAGUACCAGGCGUAGUGGUAGUGCAACCACAGCCUCCAGGAAUACCGCAAGCAUUUUUGAGAAUAGAUCAAGAACCGGGAAAAGUAAAUGUCCAACCUGGCACUUGUUGCAGCUGCUGGAAAAGGAAUUUUAAAGGUAAACAGACAGGUAAAAACGAAACAGGCUAUUGUCAGACUCCAUCAUCUCUUUCUUCGUUGUAUUACUCAUCUUCCUACGGAUCUUAAAGUUAAUUCAUGUCAUUAUCGUGUCAUUGUAUGCACAUUUCGGAAGCCUAAAAAAUAAAUAACAAAUAACAAUACUUCCGAAUUUUGUUCUUACUAUGACAACUGCGGUCAAUCGCAUACCAAAAUUUUUUGAAUGAUUUGAUUUUGAUAUGGACAUUGAGUUACGUAACUAGAUGACCUAGAUUCGCUAGUUUGUUGAAAGAACGUUGCAUGAAGCUGAGAAGAAGCAACAGGUUGAUAACAUCACCGCCUGCUUGUCAGAAACGUCAGUAGCUGCUUAAGACCAGAACGAGAUUACCAGCCACCUAAAAGACACCACAGGAUGACAAAAGGAUGACAUCAAUCUCUUGGCAAGGGAAAAAAAUGCAGGCCUGUUUAAUGAAACUUCAUAGUCACGUAACGUACGCGUCAAGGUCUCAAAGUUAUUUAGAGCUAAUUGAAUUCGCUAAGACACUCAUAAUUACGCAUCAAGUAAAACAAAUAUGUUACUUACAGGCAAUUAGCUUCUAAUACGAGAACAUAAUAGAUAACGGAAGUUCUAUAGUACUUCAAAUAGAUUUUCUUUUAGUUCUGUGGUUAUACAAACUGGAAAAGACAACUACCGUGGUCGCUCAUUUUUUAAAUGCGUUUAUUGUAUGUACUUUUGUGAAUCUACUAGUGAAAUUAAAUAGUAUUGUGCUUUUGUA
rnacentral:sRNA from 1 species